rnacentral:lncRNA from 1 species
UGCCCCCAAAACAAAAGAAUUGCUGCUUCUUUUUCUCUGCUAGGGUUUUUAACCCAACCUCUGCCACCGUGCCUCCAUCACAAUUCCACCGUGAACGGUGGUCGGAGCCGCACCACAAAAGGCUUUUUGGCUCCCUCUCACGCGGAUCUUCAAGGCGUCGCAAGGUAAGCCUUCUUUUUUACUCCUUUAUUUACUGUUUUUUUAAUCUAAGCAAAGAGAAAAAGAAAAACGAAAAUCUACCUUCAAUCUAUCUUUUUUGUAUUUUGAAAUCUCUACUUCAAAUAUUUUUUUUGUUUUUCUAUUUGAUUCGUGAAAAAAAAACCCUUUACAAGUGCUACAAUCGGCUUUAUAUAGCCGAAUAUUACAGAAAUUAAUUAUUUUUCUUUUAUAUUUUUGCUAUUUUCCCUGUUAUUCUAGUGCUGGUCAUGGUUUGUUACAGGUGCACUGGAGGAGAACAUGCGUUGUGCGGGGGCGAUGUGCUGCGACGUUGGUGAGGUUGCUGCGGCGUUGGUUUGCUAACUAACUGCUUAGGGUUUCUGUGUCUUGGGAUAAUUCGGGCUGUUGGUAUUGGGCUGAAGUCUGUAUUGGGUUUGGGGUAAAUUUUGUUGUAAUCUGGACAUGGACCUAAUUUCAUUUGAUUUAUUAUUUUGGAUUUAUUUCUUACAC